rnacentral:rRNA from 1 species
CAGCCGCCGCGGGAACACGGAGGGAGCUAGCGUUGUUCGGAAUUACUGGGCGUAAAGCGCGCGUAGGCGGUUACUCAAGUCAGAGGUGAAAGCCCGGGGCUCAACCCCGGAACUGCCUUUGAAACUAGGUGACUAGAAUCUUGGAGAGGUCAGUGGAAUUCCGAGUGUAGAGGUGAAAUUCGUAGAUAUUCGGAAGAACACCAGUGGCGAAGGCGACUGACUGGACAAGUAUUGACGCUGAGGUGCGAAAGCGUGGGGAGCAAACAGGAUUAGAUACCCCUGUAGUCCCUGUCUCUUAUAC